AAAUUUAAAUAGCUAGCAAGUAGAAAUUUAUAAUAUAUAUACAUAGAACUAGGCUGGAAUACUAUUAAUAGCACCAAUGACUUUGUGCUAUUAAGUUUUCUACUCUUGGAUUAAAAGAUGUGUGAUUAGGAUGAUGUGGGCCUCGUAGGGUUGAGUGGGUGGUUAGUUGAAUAGUAUAAUCGAACGGAUGAAAAUAAUAAAAGAGGUAAAUCUAACGGCAGAAAAUUUGAUAGCACCAAAUGCUUCAUGCUAUCGAUAGUAUUCCAGCCGGACUGUAUAUAUAUAUAUUCGAGUUAUAUCUAAUCGAGUAUGAACAAGUUGAUGCUAGCUCGCGUUUUGCUUGUUAAGAUUUCAACUUGAAAAUUUCAGUUCGUGCUUGGCUCCUCUAUUAAACAAAUCGAUUUCGAGCUCAUUUGGAGCCAACAUGUGCUGGCUCGCA
rnacentral:lncRNA from 1 species